CAAUUUAAACAACGAAGAGUUUGAUCCUGGCUCAGGAUGAACGCUAGCGACAGGCUUAACACAUGCAAGUCGAGGGGCAGCACA
rnacentral:rRNA from 2 species